rnacentral:rRNA from 1 species
AUACGAAAGGUGCAAGCGUUGUUCGGAUUUACUGGGCGUAAAGAGAGUGUAGGUGGUUUAUUAAGUCGGAUGUGAAAUCCCGGGGCUCAACCUCGGAACUGCAUUCGAUACUGAUAGGCUAGAGUUUGGGAGGGGUAAGCGGAAUUCCGUGUGUAGCAGUGAAAUGCGUAGAUAUACGGAGGAACACCUGAGGCGAAGGCGGCUUACUGGACCAAUACUGACACUGAGACUCGAAAGCGUGGGUAGCAAGCAGGAUUAGAAACCCUAGUAGUCC